rnacentral:lncRNA from 1 species
CUCCAGUGCUUCCUCCGAAGAUGGGUGAUGGGGUGUUGGGGUCCAAUUCCGGAGGGGUGAAACCGACCGGAGCUUCCUUUGUAGCAGCAGCAGAUGAUGCUUCCUCAUCAGCAGCUGCAGCUCUAAUGGUUCUUUGAGCCAUGGAGAAGUUGAGGGACUUGGAAGAGGUAGCAAAGGAAAAUGAUGAGGCUGGUUUCCAUGGGGCCAAAGAUUUUGGGGUGGGGAUUGUGGGGGUGAAGAGACCUGCUUGAGUUGCCAUGGCCAUGUAGAUGAUGGAUGUUAGAGCUGCAGUUGAUGAGUUCU